AUGGCUCAGGAUGAACGCUAGCGACAGGCUAACACAUGCAAGUCGAGGGAGAAGGCGAAGGGAGGCGACUCCCGAAGCCGGACACCGGCGCACGGGUGAGUAACACGUAUGCAACCUGCCCCCGGCAGGGGAAUAACCGGAAGAAAUUCCGACUAAUGCCGCGUAUACUCCGGAGGGGCAUCCCUCCGGGGGGAAAGCUGAGGCGGCCGGGGAUGGGCAUGCGGGCCAUUAGCUAGUCGGCGGGGUAACGGCCCACCGAGGCAACGAUGGCUAGGGGUUCUGAGAGGAAGGUCCCCCACACUGGUACUGAGACACGGACCAGACUCCUACGGGAGGCAGCAGUGAGGAAUAUUGGUCAAUGGGCGGAAGCCUGAACCAGCCAAGUCGCGUGAAGGGGAAGAAGGUCCUAAGGAUUGCAGACCUCUUUUGCCGGGGAGCAACGGGCGUUCUGAGGGGCGCCGUGAGAGUACCCGGAGAAAAAGCAUCGGCUAACUCCGUGCCAGCAGCUGC
rnacentral:rRNA from 1 species